rnacentral:rRNA from 1 species
CGCUUCCGUCCAUCUUCCAAGUUCGGAUGUGCUGAGAACUUCAACAACUUUGUUAAUAAAGUGCUUGAGUGCCGUGAGCAAACCUCACCUCUUCAUGAAUGUCAUGUCCAUUCAUAUCCGGAUGGUAAGGACGAAGUGGCACACCGUGAUGUUGAAUCAUGGGUCCGGUAUGCUGUCUCAUGCCAAGUCUCGGUGCUUCGAGUUCUGAUGUUGGCUGAUGGUCAUUGUAAUUUGGAGCUACCCAACAACGUUGUCAUCUCCAAGCACUUGACAAAUUUAAUGCUUUAUUGUGUGGACUUUGACGAAAGCCCCCUUGAUCUUUUGAGCUGCCAGGCACUAGAGGUGCUAGAUAUAGAUUGUUGUCGUGUCAACCUUGGGGAUAUCUUACCCAAAUCUUUACGACAUCUGAAAAUCGUACAUUCAACCCUUCUUUCCAUGCAUACACCACGGAAUUGUCUUUCUGCUCCAGGUCUGGUUACCUUUGAACUACAGCACUGUGAAGAGUGGACUCCGAUUCUUGAGAGCAUGCCAUCAUUGGCAACAUCAUCUAUCAUUAUUGGCUUUGAAUCCAAAGAUAGUUGUGAUAAUUUUAAGUACCUUGGGGAUUGCGGUGUUGAGGCAUGUGAAGGAUGCUAUGUAGAAGAUGAUUGCUCUGUGCUUCUUGAAGGUCUGUCGGGCGCUACGAAUUUAAAGCUGAUAAGUGAAUAUUCUAUGAUUUUCAGAAAGGACUUGAAAUGGUGCCCUAUGUUUAGCAAGCUAAAAACUGUGUUGCUCAAUGAAUGGUGUUUGACUGCAAACUUCACUGGACUACUUCACUUU